AAAAAAAAAACGUAACUUUGAAAUUAAUCGACAAUCCAAAUGGAUCCCUCCGGCUCCGGUAAUCGAACAAUGAUGAAAGCAAGAUGUUCAAUUUCCGAUGAACCGCCGAAUAAGCGGAGGAAGUUGUCUCCGUCCCUUUCUGGGUUAUGGUCGUCGUUGCCACAUGAAUUAGCUGUGAGCAUCCUGGCUCAGGUCUCGAGAUUUGACCUCGGGGCCUUAGCUAUCUCCUCCAAGAGGCACCGCUCUCUAGUAGCUUCCCGAGAGCUCUACGACUUGAGAUUGCAGAUGGGUUUCACCGAAGCAUCUCUCUACGUAUGCUUACGCAUCUUUCCUGACCCAAUCCCACGCUGGUUCGUCCUCAAUCCCACGCAGCGUCGCCUUUGCCCGAUCCCCUCGAACCCAGAAUCAUCAUCAUCAUCAUCAUCAUCAUCAUCAUCAUCCUCGUUCGUGGUGGUGAGUCGAGGCAUCAUAAACGGCAAUCGCACAUCCGAUGUCUGGUUCCUCGAUUGCUUCUCUCACACAUGGCGACUCGUCCCGUCCAUGAGGAUGGCUCGUGCUUCUGCAUCGGCAAGUCUGGUAGACGGGAAGAUAUACGUGAUUGGAGGGUGCGGAAUGGUCGCUGAUUCCCAAAACUGGGGAGAGAUAUUCCAUCUCAAGACCCAAACUUGGGAAGACUGGUUUAUCCCCAACAUGGACGAAAUCCAUCAGAGUGUGGUGAUAAAGGAGGAGAAGAAGGUUUACGUGGUGGAUGAGGCACGACGAGUCUCCUACUUAUCCCCAGGUAAUUGUAAGUUUUGGACAUUACGGAAAAUGGAUUCUAAGCCAGGACACAGGAGCGACUGGUGUGCUCUAGGGAAGCUUUUAUACUGUCGUGAUUCUCGUGGGAGAAUACUGUGGUGUGAGCCACACGAGCUGGAUUGGAAACAAGUCAAGGGUCUGGAAGAGUUGCAACACUUGUCUCGCUCCUCUGCUUCUACACAAGUCUCCUAUCCUCUUAAACCAUGUUCGGGGACAACCAGUUUCCAAUAUGAUAUCUGCAGACUCUGCAGCAACUCUGCUGGGAACAUUGUUAUCUUCUGGAACGCCUAUCUUGGAGGUUUGGAGCUUUGGUCUGCCGAGAUUUCCAUGGAGAAACGCGAGGGAUGCGAGAUUUGGGGGAAGAUCUGCUCCUGUCUUCAAAUUUAAUCCUCUCUCACACUCAUUUGGCGUUAAGGUCUUAUAUUCUGCCUCUGUCCUUGUCUGAGAUUCCAAGCUUCUCACAGACUCACUAUUGUUUAUAUCAUCCAGUUGUUCUAGUACAAAAGACCAAAUGCAUAUGCUCAAUUGAUUCUCUUCGUUUUCUCUAAAUCAGCCGCUUGCUAGUUCUGUUGUCUAGUUUUAUGUGGAGUUUCCAGCAAUCGUUUGAUGUCUAUUAAAUCUCAGAAGCUGAUUAGAGGUGUUGCUCUGAGUAAAGAAAAGACAAAAAGCAUUGAAUUUAAAAAACCCUUGGAAUAUAUAGAAAUGAUAUUUCACUUAAAGAGGACAAAGAAAGCUCUCAAACACAAAGCCAAUCAGAGCCGAGACCAA